CUACGGGUCGCUCCAGUGAGGAAUAUUGGUCAAUGGGCGGAAGCCUGAACCAGCCAUCCCGCGUGCAGGGUGACGGCCCUAUGGGUUGUAAACUGCUUUUAUUUGCCAAGAAACCUACUUACGUGUAAGUAGUUGACGGUAGCAAAUGAAUAAGCACCGGCUAACUCCGGGCCAGCAGCCGCGGUAAUACGGAGGGUGCAAGCGUUAUCCGGAUUUAUUGGGUUUGAAGGGUGCGCAGGCGGAAAUGUAAGUCAGUGGUGAAAUACUGCCGCUCAACGGUAGGGCUGCCAUUGAUACUGCGUUUCUUGAGUAUGGUUGAGGUAGGCGGAAUGUGCGGUGUAGCGGUGAAAUGCAUAGAUAUCGCCCAGAACGCCGAUUGCGAAGGCAGCUUACUAAGCCAUUACUGACGCUGAGGCACGAAAGCGUGGGUAGCGAACAGGAUUAGAUACCCUUGUAGUC
rnacentral:rRNA from 1 species